rnacentral:lncRNA from 1 species
UCAAAUGUAGAGUCAACCGAGCAAACUAGGCCAAAAAUAAAUCCAAAAUAAAUUAAAAAUGGGAAAUAAAAUUCCAAUAAAAAGUCAGGUUGACCAUGAGAAAUUGGUCAACCCUCAUCCCAAAAAUCAGAAUCUAAAAAUAAUUUUAAGUUAUGGAAAUAAAAUAAAUGAAAAAAAGUGUGUUAAAAUGGCCUAUUUGAAACAAAUAAUUGAAAUAAAAUACUAGCAUUAAAUAAAAACGAAAAUAAAAAUUAAAAUAAAUUAAAUAAGACAAUAAGGAAAGUAAAAAAAUAUUUUUUGGCAUUUUUGUGAACAAAUAAAAUAUUUUUAAUAAUUAAAAGUAAAACAGAAAAAUAAAGUGGAAAUAAAAAGAAAUGAAAAGAAAUGAAAGAGUAUCAUGGCAAUGGGCUUUGUGUGUGGGUGUGAAUAGCAAGCGGGUAAAGGCCCGGUCCAGCGGAGCAUUCAGCAUGUGACCAAAAAUAACAAAAA